rnacentral:tRNA from 1 species
GUCCCCGUCGUUUAACGGAUAGGACACAGGAUUCCGGAUCCUGGAAUAGGGGUUCGAUUCCUCUCGGGGACA